rnacentral:rRNA from 1 species
GAACGCUGGCGGCGUGCCUAAUACAUGCAAGUAGAACGCUGAAGAGAGGAGCUUGCUCUCCUUGGAUGAGUUGCGAACGGGUGAGUAACGCGUAGGUAACCUGCCUUGUAGCGGGGGAUAACUAUUGGAAACGAUAGCUAAUACCGCAUAACAAUGGAUGACACAUGUCAUUUAUUUGAAAGGGGCAAUUGCUCCACUACAAGAUGGACCUGCGUUGUAUUAGCUAGUAGGUGAGGUAACGGCUCACCUAGGCGACGAUACAUAGCCGACCUGAGAGGGUGAUCGGCCACACUGGGACUGAGACACGGCCCAGACUCCUACGGGAGGCAGCAGUAGGGAAUCUUCGGCAAUGGGGGCAACCCUGACCGAGCAACGCCGCGUGAGUGAAGAAGGUUUUCGGAUCGUAAAGCUCUGUUGUAAGUCAAGAACGAGUGUGAGAGUGGAAAGUUCACACUGUGACGGUAGCUUACCAGAAAGGGACGGCUAACUACGUGCCAGCAGCCGCGGUAAUACGUAGGUCCCGAGCGUUGUCCGGAUUUAUUGGGCGUAAAGCGAGCGCAGGCGGUUUGAUAAGUCUGAAGUUAAAGGCUGUGGCUCAACCAUAGUUCGCUUUGGAAACUGUCAAACUUGAGUGCAGAAGGGGAGAGUGGAAUUCCAUGUGUAGCGGUGAAAUGCGUAGAUAUAUGGAGGAACACCGGUGGCGAAAGCGGCUCUCUGGUCUGUAACUGACGCUGAGGCUCGAAAGCGUGGGGAGCGAACAGGAUUAGAUUAACCCUGGUAGUCCACGCCGUAAACGAUGAGUGCUAGGUGUUGGAUCCUUUCCGGGAUUCAGUGCCGCAGCUAACGCACUAAGCACUCCGCCUGG